UUAUAGACGAGGAUCCCACACCAGGGGAGAACGGAACCAAGGUCAAGGGCGCAAUUGGAGUUAUUUUGAUGCUUCAUUACUGUUUUGAGAAUUUUGGUUUAGGUGAAAAAGAAUGUCACUUACACUGUGAUAAUGGUUCAGGGGAAAACAAAAACAAAUUCAUGCUCGCAUAUUCGAUGUGGAGAACGCUGAGUGGAAAGCAUUCCAAAAUAAAUUUGCAUAUGCAAGUUCCCCAUCAUGGCAAAAGCCUGGUAGAUGCUGGAUUUGCCUACAUCAAAAAGUUAUAAAGAUAGGCUGAGGUCGACUCCUUGGAACAGUUAGCAUCCGUGGUUAGGAAAAGUGCGAUGCCCAAUGAAGUUAUUGUGUUUGGUUGAGCUGGCGGAGAAUGGCUCGAUUGGAAGACAUUUACUUCAGAGUACUUUGUUUCCUUCAAGGGCAUCAGGAAAUAUAGACACUUUGUCUUCCAGGCAGAUAAACCAGGUAUUGUCUUAGCCAAAGAAUUACCAGAUUCACCCAGCAAAGAACAUAAAACAGGGGAUCGAUCUAUGCACCAUUCAACCUCCCAAUGUCAUUCCAGCAGCUGGAUAGAGCCGAAAGAGAGCUGAAUACUUGUUAAAAUUUAUUCGACUAUUUGUUAUGGCCCCUUACAAGGACGUCGUCGCCCCUUCCCCCGACGCACAGGAAGA